GCUAACUUUGUACGAAGUCGUGUGGAAGUUCUGCAGCUCCACCCUGCCCCUGUGACCUCCCAUUCUCCUAGCUCUGCCAAAGGGAAGCACCAUGGAGCUAAUAAAAGGUUUGAUCUUGUCCUAAAUUUUCAAACAGGGGAUCAAGAAAUUGAUAAAGCAACCUUACAGACCACAUCCUAUUAGAUAGCAAGCUGGACUCUUUAUUACAAAAAAAAAUUAUAAAAGUAUCUAAUAUUUUGCUCCCGGGAAGCAAACAAACCCUGAGACUAUUAAGUGAGUAAUUCUGUAACAUAAAUUAAGUUUCAACAUAAAGCACAGUGCCAUCUAUCCAUUGUUGACUUUGGACAUUCACACCAAGGUAAGUAAUUGGGGUGGGGGAUAUUUGUAGUUUCAAAGCCAGGGUUCCUGAAGGGCGUGAUGAUAAUUGACAUGCAAACCCACUACCAUCUUGCCUACAUAGAUUCUUGUCCCAGAUGUUUGGUCUUACUUUCUACUCUGCCUUUCUACAUUUGAAUAAGCAUCUAACAGAUUACUUGGCACAUAAAUUUUAUGGAUGUUAUUAUAAUUCACAAGAAUAAUGUUUAUACUUGUACAGUAAAUUUUAUAGUCUAGCCUAUAAAACUUUUUGCAUAAAUUACUGAAUGAAAAGCAAAAAUAUAAACAGAUUUGUAGAAUAAUUGCUAUAUGUAUAGAUUAAAUCAAAUCACCUCUCCUGGUAUCCACUUGUAUUAAAAUAAUUCAUUGGGAAUGAAUUUAGAACGAACUGAAGAUUACAUAUACUAUUUAGCAAUGGACCCACAGAAAAUUUUACUGUGCUAUAAUUCUGUUUGGUUUUUUUCCUUAAAAAUUAUGAUUAUUUUUAGUCAUUUUCUAGUAUUCUACACACUACCUUGCUCCCCUUGUUUAUAUGAUGCAUUCAAAUAUGUCAGCACAGUCAGAGAAAGCAUCUAACUACACCUGUAUGGGUCUCUCUUACCUCAUAAAGGUGUCCUUGGCUCCAUCUUUCUUCUGCUCCACUAGAAACUCAUAGUCUUUGCUACAGAACAUUUUCUUGAUCAUUUUCCCACAGGCUUUCUUGAUUUUUUAUCCUACAGUGAAUUCUAAGUUCUUUGAAUUAUCAUACUUCUCUAACCAUAGAAAAAUAUGUAGCAAACAAUAUGCAAAUAAAAUAAAAGAGUAAUUACCCUAGACAUUGUAUAUGCCAGGCAUUUGGACUCUCUUCCUAGCAAGAUUUAUGCAUACUUGAGACAGUUUCUGCUGGGCUUUUGUUGCUCAAAGCUGCAGGUCUUUUUACUGAGACACAAGUGUAGAAAGCUAAGUCUUUCAUAUUUCAUUUCUGUAUCACUUGGGCGGAGUACAGGGAAAUCUGGAUACAGAAUAUCAUCUUUACCCUGUUAAAUAUGUGUCACGUCUACCAUUUUUAAACUGUGCACCUUUUUAAAUGCAACACAGGGCAACAUAGCAUUAUCAAUAUGUCUAGAAGCAAUGUUUGGGUUCAUUGUCACUUAUGCAAAUUAUUUUCUAUGCUACGGAAUGUCUGUGUGUCCCAGCUUACUUAUAUUUAGAAUGAAGAUAUAACAACAUUGCAGAGAACAGUUACUGUGUAUUGCAUGUGUCCAUACAUGUACCUCUCUCGGCAGAUAUAAAGUAUUACUCACUAUUAACUAAUUAUUCCAAAUCUCUUCCCCACUCCUUCUGCAGCCGCACCACACUAAUUUUAUUAAAAAUGUGACAUAGUUCUAAAUAGUGCUAGGGUUUCCUGUUUGCUUGUUUUGUUUGUGUGUGUGUGUGUGUGUGUGUGUGUGUGUGUGUGUGUGUGUGUGUGUGUGUUUUGAGAUCUCCCAUCUUAUUUUGGCAUAAGGUGUAGUUCAGAAGAACACAAUGAGAACAGAAACUACUGCAUACAAACGCCCAUGGAAACCUAAAACUCCCAUGACCAGAAUCCGGGAGCAGCUCCUGCUUUGCUCUCUGGCCUUACUUUCUGUGCCUGGAAUGGACAGUGGUGCUUGGGUUUUUUUUUUAAUAAUUUAAUACUCACACUUUGUAAUUUUCAAAUAUUUACCUUUUUUGAAUCACUAUAAAAAUUGCUAAACCAUCUUACGUAAUCCUUCUAAUUAUUUUAUUUGGGGGACUAUAAUUUCUUCAUUUCCCCCUUUCCUUUCCUCCCUACCAUCACAUCCAUCUACCCUUCCUUGAUCUAUUUCAAGUUCAUGGCCCCUUUUUUCAUUACUUUUUCUUACAUCCAACAAUCAUAUAUAUAAAAUACUACAUAUUAUGUAUUUAUAUUAAUCACACAUUUCAUAUGUAUGUAUUAUAUAUAUGUUGUGGGCAUAUAUUAAUAAUAUAUGUUACAAUGUAUGUAUUUUUAUAUGUAAUAUAUUUUAUAUGAAAUGUUUAUAAGUAUGUAACACUUUAUAUAAUAUGUAAUUUUAUAGAUUUUUAUGUGUUUAUAAAUAUAUAGACCUAAAUACAACCUACUAAGUCAUUAUGAUAUUCCUUGUAUGUUUGUUUUCAAGGAUGAUCAUUUGUUAUUAGGUAAUCAGUGUGUGUGCUUUCCCUGGGAAAGACAAUUUUUCCACUCUCAGCAUUCCUUAGUUUCCUGGAGUUCUUUGUGUAGGGUUAAGGAUUUCUCAUGGGUUUUUCUAUUGCUGCUGUCCUGGAAUAUUUUUAGCAUCAUCUGGCAGCUAUAAAAACGGUAUCUACAUACUUUGUAUGGCAAUCGAAAAGGGAAACUGAAAAGACUUAAACAAUCCAUACUUCAGCCUUGAGCUGAUUCUAGACUUGUCAGUCAGUGUGUGGGUUAGGUGACGUCAUACCCCUUUUGUUCAUCAAGCUACUGUAUUAGGAUUUCUGAUGCAUACAUUGAAAAGAAACCUUACCUUCUUAACUUAUUCCCAAACACUUUCCAAACAAGGUGUGUUUGCUUAUCUUCAACAUUCUGGCUUUUACAAUAUUAUACUCUUUUUUCUUAAAUUAAAUAUAUUAAUUAUAUUGUAUUAUUUUAAUUAUAUUUAAGUAUUGUCUUAGUUAGGGUUUGUUGUUGUGAGCAGACAUCAUGACCAAGGCAACUUUUUAUGGCACAACAUUUAAGUGGGGCUGACUUACAGGUUCAGAGGCUCAGUCCAUUAUCAUCAAUGCAGGAACAUGGCAGUAUCCAGGCAGGCAUGGUGCAGGAGGAGCUGAGAGUUCUACAUCUUCAUCUCGAGGCUGCUAGGAGAAUACUGCUUCCAGGAAGCUAGGGUGAGGGUCUUAAAGUCAUGCUUACAGUGACAAACCUACUUCAAAAAGGCCAUACCUUCCAACAAUGCCACUCCCUGGCCCAAGCAUAUGCGAACCAUCACAAGAGAAAAGAGAACCAAAACUAAUACCUGCUGUGUGGAUUUCAGGCUUUGAUGCUCUCUGAAAUCAUAGCAUAAUACUAAGAUAAAUACUGCAUCCAAGUGUCUGCUAUAGAGAUUAAAUCCUGUGAGGUGUUGGCUUGCCUCUACCUUCUACUAUAUACUACACACACUCUACCAUGAUGUUAAAAACAAGUGAACCUCAAGAAACAUGUCCUCUCAGUUGAUCUUUUUUUUCAGGUAUUUGUCACAGCCACUAACACAAGACCUAAUCUGACUUCAGAAUUACAGUUUGGAAGCUAUGGCUUUGAUUUUAAUAUGCACAGAGAUGUAAAAGUAUGCAUUUAUUUUCCUGAACACCCAUGCAUACACUUAACAAACUACCAACACAAAAUUAAGAACCUAAAACUUAAUGUAUCCUUAGAUAAAACAAUUAUGCUUACCCUUUUUUUGAUAGUUUUAUGCUUGUGGCUAAUAUUGAUUGUAAAAUUGUCAAGAUCCAGCACCACCCAGGAGACAAGCAUCCAGAAACACCCGAGAGAAAGAGUUUAGGUUUGUUCUGGGCAGAGCAGUGAGGGAUUAUCUAGAUCAUAUUAACUCUGUUAAAAACCACACUUUGAAGAAGGUCAGCACAAUUCUAAACUAAACUAAAAUUGCAAAAUCUAGCUAGCUGAGUAAAAACAUUCAUCAUUUCUGCUUCCUGAUUGCAGAAGUGAUGAGGUCAACUGUCUUUGGCUCUUGUCAUUGGGACUUCACACUAAGUGGGACUGUACCCAUAAUCCAUGAGCCCAAAUGAGCCCUUCUCAAAAGCCACACCCCUCAAGCUGCUUUUGCCAGGGUAUUUGAUCACAGCAAUAAGAGUAUAACUAAGAUAACUAUGUUUAUUUGUUUGUUCCUUUGUUUGUUUUAGUUAAUACCAAAUUAACUAAAAUUUUAUUCUCAGCACACAAAACAAGUUAAAACCUCUCGGAGGGGCUGAGGAAAUGCCUCAGUGAGUAAAAAGCUUUCUGGGCAAGUAUUUUCAAGGACUGGGGUGCAGAUCCCUAGCACUCAAUAGGUGCCAGGGGCACGUGGGCACAAAUGGGACAGCAGCACUUGUGAACAGAGACAGGGCAUCCUGGGAGCAAAUGGGAUGCCCAGACUAGCUGAGUGGAACACUCCGGGUUUAAAAGGAGACCAUGCUUUAAUAUACAAAGUGGAGAGAAGUCAAGGAAGAUACCCAAUGUCAACCUCUCACCAUCAUAUCCUCUCAUAAGCAUGUGCACACACACGUGAAACACAUAUACACAAAGACACACUGUACUCUUGAGGUAGUAAAUGAACGAAUGGGCAAGCAUAUAAAUAAAUAAACAUCUCUGUGUGCAUGGCAGUUGCUUUCCAAGAAAUCCAACUGCAUGAAAAAGAUAGAGAACAUGUUUUCAUCCUUGAACCUGAGAUCCAUUCCUUACCACGUGAUGAAUUAACACCUUGGGGAGGAGACACACUGCAGUAAUGUCUUUGAGGACUGCGAAACACAUCAGGACUCCACUAGCACAACUGAUACCCACAUCUGUAUCCAUUCUGCUGAUCAGAGCUACAAGAUCGGCGCUGAAUGGCACCAUCUGACAUAACAAAAAAAUGCAUCACACUGGAUGUAAAGGUUAGAUAUAAUUAUUCCGUUGAUGGGUACUUCCGUUGGUCCAACAUGCUCACGUAUGUGCAAAGAAAAUUUUUGUCAGUGAGAAAACGGAAGUUCAGAAUGAGAGCAUGCACCGCAGCUGGAGAAGCAGGAGCCCUGCACUGCAGCCAAUUGCAGCUUUCCUUUUGUCACGUAAUCUUCUACAAUAGGAGCAGUGACAAAACCUUAAGCAAAUUGGCAGCUUCUGGACAUGUAAUCAGAAGUCUGCAUUCUAGUUUGGAUACCUCGACCUGGACAACUCCAUUCGUCCAUUUCCCUCCUUCAGACUGCAUGCCUUAUAGUUUACUAAGUUCUCAAACAACUGAAUCUGCAGAUCUACACAUGAUUUUCAGGGAAUUAAUUUUGAACUGUAGAUUUCUAAGGAUGGGCAGUUUGAUCUAAAUGGUUCUGCGGUGUUUCCUUGCCUAGCCUAACCUGUAAAACCCUCUUGAUAAUGUUCUCAAUUUGUCAGAUGUUGCAAGAUAUUUAUUCUUUUUUAUUCUCUUUUCUUGUCUAUAUGCUGAACGAGUCUAUACAGAGAAGACAGAGGAGUUAUAAACAAGAUUUCUUUUUUUUUUUUUUUUGGAGCUGGGGACCGAACCCAGGGCCUUGCGCUUCCUAGGUAAGCGCUCUACCACUGAGCUAAAUCCCCAGCCCCAUAAACAAGAUUUCUUGAGCAUGCACCUUGAUGCUUGAUCACUUUUUUGGCAUUCGUGAGAAAUAAUAUGUAUAUUUAACAUACCAAAUAACAUGGCUUUUAGAUAUUCCUCUCUAGUUAGAUUCUCAUUAGAAUAUAUGACAGGAGGCUUGAAAGUACACAGAUUAAGUCAGAAGUUUAGUUCAUGACUAUACACUCUCAUGUAUGUGCCUUGCAAACUGACUUCUCACUUGGUGACACGGCAACAUUUGAAUGGCUAAAGACCUCAGUAGAUAUGUCCAACACUGUAUUUUGCUUGGGUUAUACUCUAAACCUGAUGUUUAUGUUUGCUUAACCUUUAUGUCUCCUUUUUCUGUGUCACACUGGUUCACAUCAUGUCCCUGCUCUUUCAGGCCAGCAGGAAAUUAUCCAUGGAUGACAAUUUAAGUAGAAGAUCACUUCUCUCUGAUCAGCUUCUUUGAUCAAAGCCUGAACCUACAAACAACCAUUACAUGAAUGACACCAUUACAGAGAUUUGAAGAGGUUCAUAUUAUUUUAAUGGUGAGGAAAAAUACCCUUAUCAGUGAAUAAAACAAAACAUAGACUUUACGCCAUAGAUGCCAUCCUGAAUUUGAAUUACCAGCUUCUCCCACUGUGGGUAAAUAAAUCUAUUUUGUAUACCGACUCUGUGUAUCUGUCCUUAUAGUAUUUGUUUUGCUACUUGAUCUCUAACUAAAAUAUA